rnacentral:lncRNA from 10 species
UGCGGAGGGACAAGUAACUGUCAGCCAGGUAAGGAGAGAAAAGACCACCCCAGGCCAAGAACACAGCCCCUGGAAAGGCCUAGAGGAUGCAGGGUGCAGAGGGGAACGGGACAUGGUGAGUCACAGGGCCAGAGCCCCAGGCAGGGGUGGGGCCAGGACAGGCCGUGUGGGCCAUGGGGAUUCUAAGGACAGUGAGGGGAGUGGGAGAGAGGACUCGAGCCAAGGUGACAAGGAGCAAUCUGAUUUUUAGCUUAGGGGAUGUUCCGACAGCUGUGGAAGAGGGAUUGGGGUUGGGAUGGAGGGGAGUUAGGACUGGCUGUGAGGAAUGAAGGGGGUCAGGGGUUGCCAGAGGAGCUGGAGAGAACACAGAUUUGGGGACAUUAAUGAGGCCAAGCCAGGCAAUGCAAAGGGCAAGAAGAGCAAGGGGGAGGUCACAGGAGUUCAGAUCCCUGGGGACUGGACAGGCGGGCAGGCAGAGCCCACAGGCAAAUAGCAGCCCACCUGGGGAGCCUGAGGGCAGGUGCCUGCCUCAGCACUUGCCCCUAGCAACUCUGUGAGAAGCAGACAGAGCUGCCACUUCUUUUUUUUUUUUUUUA